UCAUCCUUCAUAAACUUUAUUAGGAAUAUAGUUAGUCAUCAUACAUUAUGGUUCCUACAUAUAUAAUUAAGCAUCUUACAAAUAUCCAACAUAUAUCCUGCAAAUCAUAAAAUCUAAUCGUUAGUCCCGCGAAACAUGAUAUCGUCUAGCCAAGUUCUUUUUAGAUUGUCGCUCCUGACCAUGAAUGCCCUUGCUUGCUUCUCAUGCUCUAUUAAAUAAUCAAAUGCAGAGAUAAGAAAGUGCUGAUCAUAUCCAUCCAUAUUCAUCACUUGAGCAUAAAAAAGACUAUCAUCAAUUGUAUCAUCACUUAGCCUUUUGAUAGUAGAUGCAAUCUCUCUCAAUUUUUCGGACAUGAAUAUUAUGCUAUCAUCUUCAAAAGACUGAUUGUGCGAUCUUUUGAGUCCAAAUCAGGGUAAUAAAGUUUCCAUUGAUAAGAUGACUACCCCCCUCUCAUCCCUUCAUCAACAUCCUUGUCCAAGUCUACAAGCUUCAGUAUUAGUUUGAAAAUCUAUAUCAACAAAUAAUUUGGCGAAGCUCCUGAUUGCCAUAUCUUUUCCAACAAUUAAUGUCAUUUCAUUAAACAUGUCGGUCAUCUUGUUAAUGAAAAGUUCAUGCUUACGAUAUGCCUACAAUAUAUAUAUAUAUAGAAUUAGCUUUCUAAUAUACAAUAUGAAAAAUGUAUAAUAAAACUUAAUAAAAAAAGUAUUAAAAAUAUAUAUACAAACCAUGACUUCAUCCUCAUACACCUGUCUAUCUAUAGUGAUCAUCUUGAGGUUGUCAUCCUAUCUAAUUCCACUCUUGGCUAAAAUUUUUUGGAUAGUAUUCCAUGUAUUUUUCACUGUCCUAAGAUGAUUCUCCACAUGAUUUGUCUCAUAUUGAACAUUAAAUUUUUCAUUUAUUGCUUGUAGUACUCAAGUGUAUGGUGAAGCAUUCAAGACAUGGAAGGUUUAUGUCCUUUUUUAGCCUCAUCCGCAAGGAUCUCAAGUACCAUAUGCUCCAUAGGUUUUGUCCAUCGCAAUUGCUUUGGCUUUCUAUCUCUACCAUAAUGAUUUAUAUUAAAAAUAAAUAAGUCACAAAAAAUUACAAUAAAUAAUCAAACAUAAACAUAUAUUGUAAACCAACAAUAAAGAAAAAAGUACAUAAAAUGUUAAUCACAACUUAAAUGUUCAAUACCACAAUAUCGAACAAGUAAAAACAUACAUAAUAUAAACAUUAGCAACAUAUUAAUGUUCGAAACAUAAAAUAGAAAAUAGAAAACAAAAUAAAAAUUACAUUAUCCUAGCCUCAUAAUCAAUCCACAUAACAUGUGUAAUUUCAUCUCUUUUGGUCAUCCAUUCUCUAGUUGCUUCUCUUUCUUCAUGAGUUAUUAGAACAAUUAUUAUCCUUUCAAACUUUAUGUCAUUUAAUGAUAAUUGAUUAAGUAAGUUAGUAGGAUCAACUCCCAUUAUGUGAUUAUGGAGGAUAUAACAACAUAAAACAAUAUCUAUUUAUGUGCCAUAAUUCCAAAAUGGUUCGAAAUCCAACACUUGAAAAUGCUUCUUCAAAAUCCCAAAUACUCGUUCAACAGUUGUUCGCAAUGAUGAAUGGCGAAGAUUAAAAAGUUCUUUCUCAUUUUCACGACGAGCAUUACUAAACUCUUUCAAAUGAUAUCGAACACCUUUAUAUGGACUUAUAAUUCCAUUUCGAAUACCAUAUCUAGCACCAGCAAGAUAAUUUUUGCUUACAAGUUUACAAAAAUUAUUUUAUUGCUAAAUAAAUUAGUUAUCAAAUGAAUGACAACUCGUUAUAAAUUUUUAAAAUUCAUUAUCUAACCUUUCAAAAUUCUAAAUCCUCUUGGCCUUGAAAGUGCAUCACUCAAAAUACGAGAAUCGUGUGCACUACCUUCCCAACCAACAAUCACAAAAGUAAAUUUCAAGUCAAAACUAAUUGUAGCUAAUACAUUUUCUGUGGUUCCCCUUUUUUGACCACAAAAUCUUCCUUGAAUCUCAAGUGGCACAAAUGCACAAACAUGAGUACCAUCUAACGCUCCCACACAAUCCUACUAUUAUUGUACAAUUUAAAUAUAAAUCUUUUUUAUACCAAUAAAAAAGAAAAAAAAAGAACUAAUAUUAAUUCGUACCUUAAAGUAUGGAUAAAAUCUUUGAGUAUUCCUUAUCUCAAGUGGAGUAGAAUCAUCAGGUAGCCUAAUCAUAUCUUUAUGUAAUUUCAAUAAUGCUUUCAAGACAAUUCUAAAGUAUCGAUAAACUGUCCCAAUUGAUCUAAAUAUCUCGAUCCAAUUACUCACAACCUUACAUUAUGACAAAUUAUCUGCAAAAAUAUAAUCGUUUGUUCUCUCACAGACACAUAUCUACUUGAUUGUAACAAACUGUUCCUAUUAAAAAUGUCACACAACUUAAAAAAUGCUAGUGGUCUCAUCCUAAUUUGGUUCAUACAAUAGAGAUCACUUUUAUAUAAAACACUAUUAAUGUACAGCUCUCUCUCUCUGUUGAUCUCGAUUGACACUAGGCUCACUAGGUAUAUAGUCCUUAGAUUUAUAUAUUUCAAUAAAAACAACUCCGAAAGCUAAUACAGAUGCAGUUGCACCCAUAACUGCUGUGAGCAAAGAUUUUUUAUCCAUCUACAAAACAUAAAUAUAAUAUCACAUAUAUAUAUAUAUAUAUAUAUAUAUAUAUAUAUAUUAAUAANUAUUUAAAGAAAUCACCAAAUACGAAAUUCCUAAACAAAGUUGUUGGAAGUUACACCACAAAACAGAGGACAGAAAAUGAGUCAUGGAUCAUGCAUACACCAAUGAACAUUACUACUUUCUCAAACAAUUACCUUCAAGUAUUGUUAAUGUCAACAGGACACCAACUAGCAUGCAUAAAUGAUACAAAAAAUGUGUAACUAAUUUGUUGAUUCCUCUUUUCAUAAAUGAUACAAAAAAAAUAUUUAUUUAUGCUCAUAGUGAUGAUGAGAAGUUUGAGUUUGAAUAUGAAUCUGGGAAUACAAACAUUUUGGUAAAUAAUUAUACCACUGACCUUGAGAUAUCCCAUCAGGUGACAAGUGUAAAUUUUUUCUUCAAUGUUUUGAUGUCUUCUGGGUAUAGAAAAAGUCAAAUAAAAAAGCUACUUGUGAAAAUGUGUGGAUAAAUGGCUUUAUGGUUUUGCCUUGUCAACUAAUAUUUAUGAGUGCAAUGUGAGGAAGAAAGGCACAUUUGAAAUUCCAGGUGAAAGAAGGACAAAUAGGAGAAAAGUGACAUUGCCAAAGGCUCUAGUGUUUACCGCAUAUGCAUUCCUAGUGGUGUAAUCAAACUGAGAAGUAGAUCUGAUAAGAAGCUUGAGCUCAGCUUGAGAUACAAUCGAGCUACCCAACCAUGAUUUGAUUAGGUUCAAUUAUCAUCAACUUAAGUAAAGAGCUAAAAACAUUCAACCAAAAAAGAUUUUGGGUUAAUUGUUCAAUCAUAUAUUUUGCUCAAAAAUCAUAGAUCCCCAAUAUAUUUUGGUCAAUCAUACAUAACUGAAGGAAAUUUCAAUUUAAGAGGGAGGAAAGAGAGCAAAGCAUACCUAGUUGAAAGAAGAGAGAUUUGCCAUUAGAGGAAGCUUUACCACAACCGAUGGAGGAAUUCGAGGAGGAGGGAUGGACGGUGAAGAAGGGAUGACAAAGCUAAGGACUCAGGCUUUAGAGCAAGAGUCUUUCUUUUUUUUAACAACAGUCUAUUUUUUGAGCCUUGAGGAAAUUGUCUUAUGCCCU
rnacentral:lncRNA from 1 species